rnacentral:rRNA from 1 species
UACGUAGGUGGCAAGCGUUGUCCGGAUUUAUUGGGCGUAAAGAGCUCGUAGGCGGCUUGUCGCGUCGGCUGUGAAAACCCGCGGCUCAACUGUGGGCGGGCAGCUGAUACGGGCAGGCUGGAGUUCGGUAGGGGAGACUGGAAUUCCUGGUGUAGCGGUGAAAUGCGCAGAUAUCAGGAGGAACACCGGUGGCGAAGGCGGAUCUCUGGGCCUUGCCUGACGCUGAGGAGCGAAAGCCAGGGGAGCAAACGGG